UCUUGUCGGCCCCCUUCCUCAUUUUUCCCAUCAGAUCAAUCUACGUUAUCUGUACCUUCAAAACAACCAUCUCACCAUUGACUGUAACAACUCAAGAAUCGAUCCCAUCUACCUAUCUCCUCACACCUGUGAUGUGAGCAACAAUGACAUCUCUGUCACAAACUGUCCUUUCCGCUGCAAUAUUUCUGUAAAAUAGACUCUAUGUAUUACAACGAGAACAAUGACCGUGCAUAAGACAAAUAGAAUGCUAGCAUACACGUGGUGCUGACUUCAAUAACAAAACGCUAUAGACCUCUAUUUUUAAUCAUACACACAAUAUCCUAACAGCAAACUUCAAUGUGUGUCCAAGCAGUAACGCUAUAUCUGUUCAAUACUAGCACCACACUUGUGCCUACAUACACUUGGUGGCAAUCACGAUACAGCAUGAAUGCCUCAUCGUAUGUACUGGAAACACAAUGCGUAUAUACGAAUAAUACGUGCAUCUAUGUAUCUAACAACUACAUACGUGUACUAUGCAUGUCUUCCACAAUGGCAUUAUGAAUACACAUGCAUAAUGUGUCCCUGAGUGAAAUAAAAGCAGGCUGAACGCGUCCCCGUAUAUGCCGCGACGAAGGCGGAUAUAAAUUGUAAUUACAGAUAAAAUUAGAUGUUAAUAUAUGUUCACGCAUAUAGAAGGUGCGGAAUAUAUGGACGAAA